UCAGGAUGGGCCCAAAAGUUCCAGUCACUGAUCUUGGGCUUUCAGCCUCCAAAGUGAGUGACAAGCUUCUUCUCUUGAUCUGGUUCUCAGAUUCCAGUGUUCUGCUGUAGCAACACAGGCACACUGAGACAGUGUGGAGUCAAUGCCCAGGCUUCUCCAUACCAUCACCUCCCCAAGCUCUGAGCAGGGCUGCUUCCCAUCUCUCAGCUGAGCUCUGGACCAUGGCUAUGGGAAGAAAGGACAGUGCCUUUCAUUGCUUGGACUAUCUUUCCCCCAUCAGGCCCUGGGAUGCAGAGUCAGCAGGACAGCUACAUGGAGAUUCUGGCUGUGUCAGACUGCAGGAAACAAGUCUGUUAAGAGCCCCAGAAAGUGGAAAUGGAGAAUCACAAGAUUCACAAGAUGAGAAUCACCUUUGCACAGGACAAGGGGAGAUCAUAGCGACUCCUCAGACCCAAAGCAGGCUGACAAGGAGGUAAAGCGGCUUUGCUUUUUUGUGGGACCCAAGUAUGCUCAGUGAGUGAGCUGAUUAUUUUCUGCUGAUUAGAGUGGAAAAAGAAAUGGCAUUUAUUUGUGGAAACAAACUUGCAGAAGCAGAGGUGAGCGGGAUUCUUCAGUGAGUGGGUCAUUGAUGCUGGCCUCAAGGCUUUCGGCCCGUCCUCGGUGACUCCCAGCUACAGGCAAGACCCAGCAGCAGAAGAACCCUGGGAACAGACUGUGUCCCCAGACCCUGGCUGCCUCCAGGGAUGUUCUUUCUAAUGCACCCAGAACACAAAUCACAUGGCUUCACCGUGACAGUUAUAAAUUUCAUCCACCAUGGAGAGUUGGAGGCAGGCGAUUUGUUGGGUCCAAGUCAAAGGUUACAAAAGAAUUCUUCAGAUUUGGGUGAUUUCCACACCUAUUAGGUAAGUUUAAACAUAUCCUUUUGCUUCUAAGGAAAACAGCUUGUAAAAUACUUGGGAGCUCUGGGGACAUCAAACAGCUCUUCG
rnacentral:lncRNA from 1 species